GGGUGCGUAACGCGUGAGCAACUUGCCCGUAUCCGGGACAUAAGCGGUGGAAACGCCGUCUAAUUUCCCAUAACAACAGAGGCCGCAUGACCUUUGUUUGAAAGAUCCGUCGGAUACGGAUGGGCUCGCGAGACAUUAGCUAGUCGGCGUGGUAACGGCACACCGAGGCGACGAUGUCUAGGGGUUCUGAGAGGAAGGUCCCCCACACUGGAACUGAGACACGGUCCAGACUCCUACGGGAGGCAGCAGUGAGGAAUAUUGGUCAAUGGGCGCAAGCCUGAACCAGCCAUGCCGCGUGAAGGAAUAAGGCCCUAUGGGUCGUAAACUUCUUUUGUGGUGGAGCAAUAAGGUGCACGUGUGCAUCGAUGAGAGUACAUCACGAAUAAGCAUCGGCUAACUCCGUGCCAGCAGCCGCGGUAAUACGGAGGAUGCAAGCGUUAUCCGGAUUUAUUGGGUUUAAAGGGUGCGUAGGCUGUUCGACAAGUCAGGGGUGAAAGCCCAGUGCCUAACACUGGAACUGCCUUUGAUACUGCCGAGCUGGAAUACGGAUGCCGUGGGAGGAAUGAGUAGUGUAGCGGUGAAAUGCAUAGAUAUUACUCAGAACACCGAUUGCGAAGGCA
rnacentral:rRNA from 1 species